GAGUGUGAAGGCCAUCUGGCUGCAAUAACUGUCAGCCCAUUAAUCACCAGGGUUGAUUGAGCUGAUCUGGCUGGGCGGGGGCCGCCUUCCUCCCUCUCUGCUCCAUGUGCGUCCCUCCAAAAGCUGCAAGCUUGGCAGCAGAGGAUGACCUUCCUCAAUAGAGGAGCACUCUUUGGUCAGGGUGUACAAGCAGCUGUGCUCCCCUGCUAGAACUUCCAAGCAAGCUUCAAGGUUCAAAUAAAAUGUUUUUAAAGUGUAAUGUUUAACCAGAAAACCUGAACAUUUCCACACAGAGAUUUCA
rfam:Otolemur garnettii contig075942, whole genome shotgun sequence.